ensembl:lncRNA
GUGAAGGUGUGAAGGAACAGUUUAUCAGUGUUUGGUGCACCACCUGGGUGCAGAGAGCUGACUCUUUUAUGCACAUUAAAAGUUUCAGAUAAAAGGACCCCUGAUUACUUACUCAUUGCUACAUCUCUCUAAACAUAGUUAAAUUGUGUCUCUCUAUUUAUUACAAGCAAAGGGAUCUGUUCAGAAAUCCCUUCCAUAUCAGACCACUAGUGAAACCAAAAGAGAGAAUCACGCCUGCUGUUGUGCAAGUCAGUAACCCCAGACAGGCUCCAGACAUGCAAAGUCUUGGGGAAGCCACCUCCUGUGGAUGAUAAGGUCUGGGCCUCUGCUGCACCCAUCAUCUCAGCCACUACAAAAAUGCAACCUCACCAUGUAACAUCAGAGGACCAAAAGCAAAGAAUAACUGUCAUUGGCAGAAUUCUCCCAUACUUUCGUCAAAUACUCAUCACUGUUAAAAUACUUCACCAUUGUCCCGGUGUUUUUAUUUCCAUAGCUCUUCGUGGAUAUUCACAAAGGCGGUGGAGGCUGCGGUGAGGACAGAACAUAAAGCAGAUCUACAGAUGCACAGAGCUCCCUUUCAGAAGCCUUUCAUCUAUCAUAUGAUACUUUCUGGUUAAGUGAUCACCUCUGAUUUGUUGAAUCAGAGUCUUAAUCAUGUCCUUGGCAUCAAGCAAAGGAACUGCUAGCAAUAUUAACAGGGUUAUUCAGGACUGGGGGUGGAAGUCCCCGCUGUUUAAAGCAAGAGUUAGACAGUAUUACCACAUGAUCCCCUCACUCAGACUCUUUGAAGUGUUAUGAAAACAUUUUUAAAGCAAUAUUUGCCACAGGGUAGUCACUCACAUUAUAUCAGUCUUACCCCUCCUCUUUUCAUCUGUGAGCACCUCAUUACCAGUGGAUAAUACUGAUGCUGAAAUACCACUUUCCCUUGGGAACAAAACAAUAACUGUGUGUGUCAUUCGAGAAGGAUCUGCUUGGGCCUUUAUGUGCAGCAAUGCAUGGUUAUAAAGCACUUUUGACAGAAAUGUUUGAUUUUGUCGUGUUCUCAGGUCAAGAAAUACCGGUACAACGUGUGAUCAUUUGUUUCCAGUCAGGGCUCUUGAAUGCACAUUUGUUUGCACAAAAAGCAAACAUAUCUGCUCACUAAGGCAGAAAAUAAAAUAAAGAUGCCAGUAACUGCAACAACAGUACUGCUACUAUUACUACAUCUCCAUUUGUCCAGAGACAACAAUGAGUAUUUAUUCCAUGAAAUUAAUGACUUGGCUCUGUAUUUUCCUUUCUCUAGAAUAAGAAUUAACAGGGCUUACGUUGUGAUGUGCUUUAUCAGAACAUGACCUCUUCAAAUCAGCUCAAGAAGUCAAAAUUUGGGCUUGGCAAAUGAUAUCAUUAGUGGAACGGAGGAGAAAAAACAUGACUAAGAGCUACAGAGUGAGUUUCAGUAAAAUACGAAGGGAACAUCCAGAUACAAAUGCAGUCCAAGCCUAUUUUCAAAACGGAGAUACUCUUCCACAAGAGAACGGGACUUUUCAUGCUGUCCCCUGUCCUGGCUCCAUCUCCCAGAACACACGCAAAACAGCCUCCAAAGGACACUGUCCAACACAUCCAAGCCAAAAGGGUGAAGGUCACCCACUGAGGCAACCAAAGGAGGAUAAUGGCAGAGUGGAACAAUCUGAACCCAAGGUAUUUUUAAACUUUAU